GCCAGGUGGAUGGAGUGUUCCGGACUCUGGAGACGGAGCGGGCGUCCUUCUCAGGAGUCCAGGCUGACCUGACCUUCCAGCUGGGUCAGCUUCAGGAGGCGCUAGAGGAACGGAAGGCAGCCGCCCAGCUUCUCACCUCCAAACUGUCUGCCACCACUGCCAAGCUGGAGACCACGGAGAAGGACAGGGCGGAACUGGAGGAAGAGUUGACAAGCUGCCGGGCCGAGCUGGCCUCCGUGAACACCACACGGAAACAGGAGCAGGAACAGCAUAAAGAGGCGGCGCAGCGGGCGGAGCAGCAGCACGGCGAGCAGGCGGCGGAGCUGGAGC
rnacentral:lncRNA from 1 species